UACGAAGGGGGCUAGCGUUGCUCGGAAUCACUGGGCGUAAAGGGUGCGUAGGCGGGUCUUUUAAGUCAGGGGUGAAAUCCUGGAGCUCAACUCCAGAACUGCCUUUGAUACUGAGGAUCUUGAGUUCGGGAGAGGUGAGUGGAACUGCGAGUGUAGAGGUGAAAUUCGUAGAUAUUCGCAGGAACACCAGUGGCGAAGGCGGCUCACUGGCCCGAUACUGACGCUGAGGCACGAAAGCGUGGGGAGCAAACAGGG
rnacentral:rRNA from 1 species